rnacentral:rRNA from 1 species
UACGGAGGGUGCCAGCGUUGUCCGGAAUUACUGGGCGUAAAGCGCUCGUAGGCGGUCGCGUACGGCAGUGGUGAAAGCUCCCGGCUCAACUGGGAGAUGCCCAUUGCAACGGCGUGACUUGAGGGUGGUAGAGGCAGAUGGAAUUCCCGGUGUAGCGGUGAAAUGCGUAGAGAUCGGGAGGAACACCCAUGGCGAAGGCAGUCUGCUGGGCCACACCUGACGCUGAGGAGCGAAAGCCAGGGGAGCGAACGGG